GCUGCCAUCAACGAAGGAAAAGCCAUUUCCCAGGGUAGCGACUCCUAGCCAUCAGCCUCCUCCUCCAGCCCCUCCUCCCAAAGAAGAUCUAACUUUUAUCCUUGCAACACCAAAUCCCCCCAAACACUACAAAACCAGAGAGAGCUUCCACACUUUUACUCCCUAGGGAAUCCAAGAGCCCCGGGAUUUCCCCGUCUGCCGGUCCGUGAUGACCACCGCCUCUUCGAUCUCCCCGAAGACCUCGAAGUAUUUGCGCAGACUGGAGUCGGUGGUGUGGUACGGGAGCCCCCCGACGAAGAUUUUGGUGUGAUCUGUUGAAGAAAAUAUACCUCUUAGGGCAGAGGUGCCCAACCUUUUCAUGAGGAGGAGUAAUUUUUUUCCCCCUUGAAACCUCAAGAUGAAUGGGAAG